AAUUCUCUACCUCAACAAGAAUGGAGUGCUCGAACGAAAAUUUUAGCAGAGUUUCUAGGUAAAGACGAGAGCUUAUAGAAUAACAUAUCUGGGGUUCUCCUUUUUAUAGGUGGAGGGGGCAACAAACUGAUAGUGAUGCCUGUAACCGUCUGGAAGUGGGCCGCCCAUAGUCAGGAAAAGUUUGUUGCGGAGAGUAGUGGGGUGGACCCGUGGCUAUUACCGGGGUGUGCCACGUGGAGUCUGCCACG
rnacentral:lncRNA from 1 species